rnacentral:rRNA from 1 species
CUGCGGCAGCGACACGUAUGUGUUGUUGGGUAGGGGAGCGUUCUGUAAGCCUGUGAAGGUGUGCUGUGAGGCAUGCUGGAGGUAUCAGAAGUGCGAAUGCUGACAUAAGUAACGAUAAAGCGGGUGAAAAGCCCGCUCGCCGGAAGACCAAGGGUUCCUGUCCAACGUUAAUCGGGGCAGGGUGAGUCGACCCCUAAGGCGAGGCCGAAAGGCGUAGUCGAUGGGAAACAGGUUAAUAUUCCUGUACUUGGUGUUACUGCGAAGGGGGGACGGAGAAGGCUAUGUCGGCCGGGCGACGGUUGUCCCGGUUUAAGCGUGUAGGCUGACUUUCCAGGCAAAUCCGGAAGGUUAAGGCUGAGGCGUGAUGACGAGGCACCACGGUGCUGAAGUGACAAAUGCCCUGCUUCCAGGAAAAGCCUCUAAGCAUCAGGUAACAUCAAAUCGUACCCCAAACCGACACAGGUGGUCAGGUAGAGAAUACCAAGGCGCUUGAGAGAACUCGGGUGAAGGAACUAGGCAAAAUGGUGCCGUAACUUCGGGAGAAGGCACGCUGACAUGUAGGUGAAGCCCCUGCGGGUGGAGCUGAAGUCAGUCGAAGAUACCAGCUGGCUGCAACUGUUUAUUAAAAACACAGCACUGUGCAAACACGAAAGUGGACGUAUACGGUGUGACGCCUGCCCGGUGCCGGAAGGUUAAUUGAUGGGGUUAUCGCAAGAGAAGCUCCUGAUCGAAGCCCCGGUAAACGGCGGCCGUAACUAUAACGGUCCUAAGGUAGCGAAAUUCCUUGUCGGGUAAGUUCCGACCUGCACGAAUGGCGUAAUGAUGGCCAGGCUGUCUCCACCCGAGACUCAGUGAAAUUGAACUCGCUGUGAAGAUGCAGUGUACCCGCGGCAAGACGGAAAGACCCCGUGAACCUUUACUACAGCUUGACACUGAACAUUGAGCCUUGAUGUGUAGGAUAGGUGGGAGGCUUUGAAGCGUGGACGCCAGUCUGCGUGGAGCCGACCUUGAAAUACCACCCUUUAAUGUUUGAUGUUCUAACCUGGCGCCGUGAUCCGGCGUGGGGACAGUGUCUGGUGGGUAGUUUGACUGGGGCGGUCUCCUCCCAAAGUGUAACGGAGGAGCACGAAGGUCAGCUAAUCCUGGUCGGACAUCAGGAGGUUAGUGCAAUGGCAUAAGCUGGCUUGACUGCGAGAGUGACGGCUCGAGCAGGUGCGAAAGCAGGUCAUAGUGAUCCGGUGGUUCUGUAUGGAAGGGCCAUCGCUCAACGGAUAAAAGGUACUCCGGGGAUAACAGGCUGAUACCGCCCAAGAGUUCAUAUCGACGGCGGUGUUUGGCACCUCGAUGUCGGCUCAUCACAUCCUGGGGCUGAAGUAGGUCCCAAGGGUAUGGCUGUUCGCCAUUUAAAGUGGUACGCGAGCUGGGUUUAGAACGUCGUGAGACAGUUCGGUCCCUAUCUGCCGUGGGCGCUGGAGAAUUGAGGGGGGCUGCUCCCAGUACGAGAGGACCGGAGUGGACGCAUCACUGGUGUUCGGGUUGUCAUGCCAAUGGCACUGCCCGGUAGCUAAAUGCGGAAGAGAUAAGUGCUGAAAGCAUCUAAGCACGAAACUUGCCCCG